rnacentral:rRNA from 1 species
AUUGAACGCUGGCGGCAUGCCUUACACAUGCAAGUCGAACGGCAGCACGGGUGCUUGCACCUGGUGGCGAGUGGCGAACGGGUGAGUAAUACAUCGGCACAUGUCCUGUAGUGGGGGAUAGCCCGGCGAAAGCCGGAUUCAUACCGCAUACGAUCUACGGAUGAAAGCGGGGGACCUUCGGGCCUCGCGCUAUAGGGUUGGCCGAUGGCUGAUUAGCUAGUUGGUGGGGUAAAGGCCUACCAAGGCGGCGAUCAGUAGCUGGUCUGAGAGGACGACCAGCCACACUGGGACUGAGACACGGCCCAGACUCCUACGGGAGGCAGCAGUGGGGAAUUUUGGACAAUGGGCGAAAGCCUGAUCCAGCAAUGCCGCGUGUGUGAAGAAGGCCUUCGGGUUGUAAAGCACUUUUGUCCGGAAAGAAAUCCUUGGCCCUAAUACGGUCGGGGGAUGACGGUACCGGAAGAAUAAGCACCGGCUAACUACGUG